rnacentral:rRNA from 1 species
GAAUAUUGGGCAAUGGGCGAAAGCCUGACCCAGCAACGCCGCGUGAAGGAUGAAGGCCUUCGUGUCGUAAACUUCUGUCGAGAGGGAAGAAUGCGUACGGGUGAACAAUCCGUGCGUUUGACUGUACCUCCAAAGGAAGCACCGGCUAACUCCGUGCCCGCAGCCGCGGUAAUACGGAGGGUGCAAGCGUUGUUCGGAUUCAUUGGGCGUAAAGCGAGUGUAGGCGGUUUGACAAGUCGGAUGUGAAAUCCCGGGGCCCAACCCCGGAACUGCAUCCGAUACUGUCUAGCCAGAGUCCCGGAGAGGGUGGCGGAAUUCCCGGUGUAGGGGUGAAAUCCGUAGAUAUCGGGAGGAACACCAGUGGCGAAGGCGGCCACCUGGACGGUGACUGACGCUGAGACUCGAAAGCGUGGGUAGCAAACAGG